rnacentral:rRNA from 1 species
CCUACGGGGGGCAUCAGUGGGGAAUAUUGGACAAUGGGGGGAACCCUGAUCUAGCCAUGCCGCGUGUGUGAAGAAGGCCCUCGGGUUGUAAAGCACUUUCAGUGAGGAAGAACGCCUGGUGGUUAAUACCCAUCAGGAAAGACAUCACUCACAGAAGAAGCACCGGCUAACUCCGUGCCAGCAGCCGCGGUAAUACGGAGGGUGCGAGCGUUAAUCGGAAUUACUGGGCGUAAAGCGCGCGUAGGUGGCUUGAUAAGCCGGUUGUGAAAGCCCCGGGCUCAACCUGGGAACGGCAUCCGGAACUGUCAAGCUAGAGUGCAGGAGAGGAAGGUAGAAUUCCCGGUGUAGCGGUGAAAUGCGUAGAGAUCGGGAGGAAUACCAGUGGCGAAGGCGGCCUUCUGGACUGACACUGACACUGAGGUGCGAAAGCGUGGGUAGCAAACAGGAUUAGAUACCCCGGUAGUC